CCCGCUACCCACUUUUGCUAAUUCCUUUUUUUUUCAAAACACUUUUGCUGAUUCCUAGUUGCUAUUCAUCACUGUACAGUACAUAUGUAGCUCAGUAUCUUAGGUUUAAGCAUGAGAGUCGCUUUAGAAUCGGGGAGGAAAAAAAUAGAAGUUUCAUAUUUCAGUUCUUAUAUGUCAUCCUGUUUUCAUAAUGCUAUGCAGUUAAAAAUAAGAAUAAAUAGCUUACAAAAUGCACCUUGUUAAGAGCUCAAAAUCACAUUUGGCUCAGAAGACCAGCACUUAUGAUUGCAACACCAAAAAAAUGCUCAAAUGUGCUUCGGGAAUGCUAUGCAGGAAAAAAAAAGCACAAUAGCAUACCAAAUGUACCCUGCUAAGACUCUGCACAUAUUCUCAUGCCUUAAGCAUGAUUGCAUGACUUCCGACUCUGACUAAAAUUACUCAACUUUCGUUGCCUAUACUUGCUCUUCUCCUUACAGGAGAGGUUUUGGAAUUGCCUGUACAGACAAGAAUGUAUGACUGUACUGUCCAAAAAAAAUGUGUACGACAAAGUAUGUGUGACUAUACGGUACACUUUGGCUAUCUUAAAACCUGUUUUAAUCUGGUCCUGAUAUAGUACUUUUUGGGUCUUAGUUUGGCGUUUACCAGUAAACCUACAUUUACACUCUGCAUAUGGCAACAUGUUUAUGUAAUUACACUGUGUAAGUGUUUGACUGGUCUCACAUCAAAGCAUAGUUUGAGACAUUUCACUGGUGAGCACAUACAUAUAUAUAAAGUUUGCACAUAAUCUGUUCAAACCGGGAGGGAUACAGGGAUUUUUUUUAGAGGAGGACAAACCUGCUUGCAAAUCCUAGCUCUGCCAUUGAUUCUACCUGUAUGUACUUUAGUAGAUCUUCUCUUGUAAAAUCCAAACUGUUUCCGAGCCUAUACGUUUACUUUCCUAUUGUUGUUUAUCAUGCAAUACUUAUCCUGCAGCCAUCUAAUAUGAAACUUUUAUAAUAGAAGAUGACCUCAUUUAUAUACAGAAAAAUAAAAAUUGUUGUAACAUUUAGAGCAUUCCACUUACCGGAUUUUAAUUCCAUGUGCUUGGAUGCAUAUUUGAUAAAUCAUCCAGUCUUUUAGCUGUGGCACCAACAAAUGAAAAAGUAUUAGCAUCACAAGCCACAAAUAAAAAGAAAAACAAUCUUAUUUGAGAAGAUGGGGUGGUAGGACUAACUACAAACCGUAGAAGUGCUUUUGGAACGUCCACUCAUCUCUGCCUUGAUGGGAGAUUCAGGAUAGGACCAACUACAGUACCACUCUCUAUUCCUUUGCCUUUUGAUUUAUUUAGGCUCUGCAAUUCAUGACACAGCUUAGCAGUUGAGCAACAAUCGUGACUGCACCACCUGCACAUGUUAUGUUCUGCAGUUGUGUGACUGCCGAUUGUCCUGUUACAAUGUUACUGCCAUCAAGGACAGCAGCAAUAUGCUUAUUUUGCUCACGGGUUGGACGUUGUCGCUUUAAAAUGUCCUCUAUUUUGUGCAUACCGCUCCCUUUCCAUCUGAUUCUUUAUCUUAUUACGGUCUGCACGUUUGAAGAACAGAUCAUAGAUCAUUAUAUAGCAAUAAAACUGGGCCAUAUAUCAUGAAGUUGAUCAUCAUUACCUUGUGAUACAGCCAGCUGGGUGUGUGCCCCAUUGAUCUCGGCUACGGCAAUUUUCUUCUGUUUAUAGACCUCACGUCGUCUCUUAUUAAUCUCAUCCUAUUUUAUGCAUACUGCUCUCUAUCCCUCUACCCUUUUUUAACUUCUUUAGGGUCUGCAAGCAAUGACACAAUUGAAUAUUUGAGCAACAAAACUGAAUCGGGUGCUUGGGUACUGAUCAUCACCCAAGUAUUGGGUGUUGCUUCUAUCCUGGCACGGGGUGAGCAUCCCGUCGGGAGUGGUCGGGACCAUACACUGUCCUUUAACCUUGUGAAUGUCAAGAAUGUUACCAUACAACUGUCUGAAGGAAUAAUGCAACAUGAUGUAGUAGUUGAUUGGCAAGGCUUUUAGGUGAGGUCAGUUACAUACUGAAGAGCAUGCACCUGUGUUGGCGACGAGCUCGUCAGCGCGGCCGUGGACGGGCGCCUCGGCGGCUGCACCUGUGAUGGCGAAGAGCUCGUCGUCGUGGCCGUCGUCAGGUGACUCGGCGGUUGCACUUGUGCUGGCGAAGAGCUCGUCGUCGCGGUCGUCGUCCGGUGCCUCGAUGUCUGCGCAGGGCAGCGAGCAGCGAUGGCGCACGUCAAGCCGGACGCCUGGAUUGAUUCCCCCCUAAUUUAGCAGAUUUCUUUCCGUAUAGUCGAGCAAGUCCAUGCGAAUUGGACGUGCUGUUUCCUUGUGCGGGCGUGGGAUCCGUACUAAAGUGACGUGUUGUGCGGCGUCUUCUUUGCGUGAGGUAGAUCGUGGGAGAAGUAGGACGUGAGCGUGGCAGAACAUGUAAUCCUGAGCGUUGAUUGGUGUGGCAGACCUUUGAUGUAAUAUAGAACGUCGAAUGUGAUUUAA